rnacentral:lncRNA from 1 species
UGCACUCUUCAACUCUUUUUUGUUCACCUCGUUUGAUUUUUAAAGGUGCAAUUCGAUUUUGAUUUUAAUAUUUUGUUAAUACUAUUUUGUCAUCUUUGCGAAUAAGAAAAUAAAACACUGGAUUUGCUUUGCGAUUUUACAUUGUGUUUGAGUAUAGACGUGCGUGAAGCGCGGGGCAUGUACUAUUCCUACGUACAUGGAUAUUUGGGUCUUAGCAUAUGUGUAUAUGUUGUGUUUAUUGUAUAAAUUCAUAUUCUAGUUGUCGAAUUAAGUUGUGUCAUUUGGAUCGAAAUCUGUUUGGUCUUGGGUUAUGUUCUGAUGUUGGUAUUAUGGUUUUAAAUUUGUGCAAAAUUU